GACGAACGCUGGCGGCGUGCUUAACACAUGCAAGUCGAACGGAAAGGCCCUGCUUUUGUGGGGUGCUCGCGUGGCGAACGGGUGAGUAACCCGUGAGUAACCUGCCCUUGACUUUGGGAUAACUUCAGGAAACUGGGGCUACUACCGGAUAGGAGCUCCUGCUGCAUGGUGGGGGUUGGAAAGUUUCGGCGGGUGGGGAUGGACUCGCGGCUUAUCAGCUUGUUGGUGGGGUAGUGGCUUACCCAGGCUUUGACGGGUAGCCGGCCUGGGAGGGGGGACAGGCACCAGGGGACUGAGGGAAGGCCCAGACUGCUACGGGGGGCAACAGGGGGGAAUAUUGCACAAUGGGGCGGAGCCUGAUACAACAACCCCGGGUGCGGGAAGACGGCCUUCGGGGUGGAAACCGCUUUAGGCUGUGACGAAGCGGGAGUGACGGUAAUGGGUAAAGAAGCACCGGCUAACUACGUG
rnacentral:rRNA from 1 species